AGGGUUUGAUCAUGGCUCAGAAUCAACGCUGGCGGCGUGCCUAACACAUGCAAGUCGAACGCGAAGGAAGACUUCGGUUUUCUGGAGAGUGGCGCACGGGUGAGUAACACGUGGGUAAUCUGCCUUUGGGUGGGGAAUAACGAUCCGAAAGGGUCGCUAAUACCGCAUAACGCAGCGGCACCGCAUGGUGACAGUUGUUAAAGGGGGGGAUCGAAAGACCUCUCGCCUGAAGAGGAGCCCGCGUCCGAUUAGCUAGUUGGUGAGGUAACGGCUCACCAAGGCAUCGAUCGGUAGCCGGCCUGAGAGGGCGGUCGGCCACACUGGCACUGAGACACGGGCCAGACUCCUACGGGAGGCAGCAGUGGGGAAUUUUGGGCAAUGGGCGAAAGCCUGACCCAGCAACGCCGCGUGAAGGAUGAAAUCCCUCUGGGAUGUAAACUUCGAAAGUCGGGAAAGAAAUCGCCAUGGAUAACACCCGUGGUGGAUGACGGUACCCGACGUAAGCCCCGGCUAACUACGUGCCAGCAGCCGCGGUAAUACGUAGGGGGCAAGCGUUGUUCGGAAUUACUGGGCGUAAAGGGCGCGUAGGCGGCAUGGCAAGUCGGGAGUGAAAGCCCGGGGCUCAACCCCGGAACUGCUUUCGAAACUGCCAAGCUAGAGUACGGAAGGGGCAACUGGAAUUCCCAGUGUAGCGGUGAAAUGCGUAGAUAUUGGGAAGAACACCGGAGGCGAAGGCGGGUUGCUGGGCCGAUACUGACGCUGAGGCGCGAAAGCCAGGGGAGCAAACGGGAUUAGAUACCCCGGUAGUCCUGGCCCUAAACGAUGGAUACUUGGUGUGUGGGGUUCUCAAAGUCCCCGCGUGCCGGAGCUAACGCGUUAAGUAUCCCGCCUGGGAGUACGGUCGCAAGGCUGAAACUCAAAGGAUUGACGGACCCGCACAAGCGUGGAGCAUGUGGUUUAAUUCGACGCACUGCGUAGACUUACCUGGGUUAAUCCUACCUUGCGCCUCAGAGAUGAGGUUCCUUCGGGGAAGUA
rnacentral:rRNA from 1 species